rnacentral:lncRNA from 1 species
UGGGCAGUUAAAGCUUGUCUGUUAAAACACGUUAUGUUAGUGAUUCCUUUACGUUGGCAGUUACCUGUAUGUAGGCCAGUACAACAACAACAAAAAUGUAUGAGAUGUAUGCAUUCACUACUGUAAGUCGCUCUGGAUAAGAGCGUCUGCUAAAAUGACUAGAAUGUAAAAUGUAGGUCUAUUGUAGCUCGGGGUUUUCUGUCUCUCCAACCCCUCUUCAUGGCGCCGACCCUCCGGGUUUGGAGAGGGUCCAUUUCGUCUCCUCAAAGGUCAAAGUUCAGACCCUUGUUUAGCCUAGGUUCUGUCAAAAUCAAAUCAAAAUACAAUAAAAUAAAAUGUUAUUGGUCGUGUACACAUGUUUAGCAGAUGUUAUUGCCGGUGUAAUAUCUAACAAUUACACAACAAUACACGAGUAGCCUGGUGGUUAGAGGAGGCAGGUAGCCUAGUGGUUAGAGGAAACAAGUAGUCUAGUGGUUAGAGGAGGCGGGUAGCCCGGUGGUUAGAGGAGGCGGGUAGCCUAGUGGUUAGAGGAGGAGGCAGGUAGCCUAGUGGUUAGAGGAGGCAGGUAGCCUAGUGGGUAGAGGAGGCAGGUAGCCUGGUGGUUAGAGGAGGCAGGUAGCCUAGUGGUUAGAGGAGGCAGGUAGCCUGGUGGUUAGAGGAGGCAGGUAGCCUAGUGGUUAGAGGAGGCAGGUAGCCUAGUGGUUAGAGGAGGCAGGUAGCCUAGUGGUUAGAGGAGGCAGGUAGCCUAGUGGUUAGAGGAGGCAGGUAGCCUAGUGGUUAGAGUGUUGGCCUAGUAACUGAAAGGUUGCUAGAUUGAAUCCCCGAGCUGACAAGGUAAAAAUCUGUCGUUCUGCCCCUGAACAAGGUAGGCCGUCAUUAUAAAUAAUAAUUAGUUCUUAACUGACUUGCCUGGUUAACUAAAAAAAAAUAGCUCUGGUUAAAAUGGGAUGCCUGCUAUUUGCACUGCAUUUCUCUGGUCAAAAGAAGGGCACUAUGGGGUGCCUGGCAAAUUCAUCAACACAACAACAACGGAUAAGAUCUUCUGGUUGCAUAUCACCCAGCUAGAGUUCUCCUGGCUAACGAGACUCCACAUGCAGAAAUAUCAGUGGAAUUUAUCGAACUUGAACGAACAUAUUCUCUCGUCAGGUAAAUAUGUUUCCUAGGCCUUUACGUUUGGUUGGAAUGGGUUUUUUAAAUGCCCAAGCCGGUUCACUUUCCUGUUAGUGACAUAUAGGCUAUACUGUAUUUAUUAGUUAUGCCUUUAUUUAUUUAUUUAUUAUUAUAUAUAUAUUUAUUUUAAAUAAACGAAGUCAUACUUAAAAGGGAGAGAUAUCGUGCGCUUUUUUUCUCAUUAUGUUGACAGUCACGCGGGCGUGUAAUAAAGGAACGCGGAGUUAACAUGCGCUGUUAAUUUUUCAUUGCUUUUUUUUUCGUUUAGGGGGCUCACCCACCCAAAAAACCGAGAGAGAGAGACGAGAGGGGUAGAGAGAGAGAGAGAGAGAGAGAACUUGUCAUAAGUACAAAAUAAAGGAAAUGGGAAAAAGGAAUGAAUGGAACUAAAACCAAAACAACAAUUCUGCCUUCGAUGAUGUUCACGUCAUAAACACAUUUUAAAGAAGCACCUCUCCUCUCCUCUCCUCCCCUCUCCUCUACUCUCCUUCUCCCUCCCUCUCUCCCCCUCUCCUCUCCUCUCCUCCCCUCUCCUCUCC